rnacentral:rRNA from 1 species
AUUGAACGCUGGCGGCAGGCCUAACACAUGCAAGUCGCACGAGUGGCGGACGGGUGAGUAAUGUCUGGGAAACUGCCCGAUGGAGGGGGAUAACUACUGGAAACGGUAGCUAAUACCGCAUACCAUCGGAUGUGCCCAGAUGGGAUUAGCUAGUAGGUGGGGUAACGGCUCACCUAGGCGACGAUCCCUCGCUGGUCUGAGAGGAUGACCAGCCACACUGGAACGACGACACGUGCCAGACUCCUACGGGGUGCAGCAGUGGGGAAUAUUGCACAAUGUGCGCAAGCAUGAUGCAGACAUGCCGCGUGUAUGAAGAAGGCCUUCGGGUUGGAAAGUACUUUCAGCGAGGAGGCGUUACUCGCAGAAGAAGCACCGGCUAACUCCGUGCCAGCAGCCGCGGUAAUUC